CGGCAGCUUACACAUGCAGUCGAACGAGAAGCUUUCCUUUCGGGAAAGUGGAAAGUGGCAGAACGGGACGAAGUAACGCGUGGGAACGUGCCUUUCGGUUCGGAAUCAACUCAGGGAAACUUGGGCUAAUACCGAAUACGCCCUUCGGGGGAAAGAUUAAUCGCCGAAAGAUCGGCCCGCGUCAGAUUAGCUUGUUGGUGAGGUAACGGCUCACCAAGGCAUCGACGGGUAGCUGGUCUGAGAGGACGACCAGCCACACUGGAACUGAGACACGGUCCAGACUCCUACGGGAGGCAGCAGUGGGGAAUCUUGCACAAUGGGCGAAAGCCUGAUGCAGCGACGCCGCGUGGGGGAUGAAGGCCCUAGGGUCGUAAAGCUCUUUCGCCAGGGAUGAUAAUGACAGUACCUGGUAAAGAAACCCCGGCUAACUCCGUGCCAGCAGCCGCGGUAAUACGGAGGGGGUUAGCGUUGUUCGGAAUUACUGGGCGUAAAGCGCGCGUAGGCGGGUUGUUAAGUUAGAGGUGAAAUCCCGGGGCUCAACCCCGGAACUGCCUUUAAUACUGGCAACCUAGAGUUCGAGAGAGGUGAGUGGAAUUCCGAGUGUAGAGGUGAAAUUCGUAGAUAUUCGGAGGAACACCAGUGGCGAAGGCGGCUCACUGGCUCGAUACUGACGCUGAGGUACGAAAGUGUGGGGGAGCAAACAGGAUUGGAU
rnacentral:rRNA from 1 species